rnacentral:rRNA from 1 species
AGAACGAACGCUGGCGGCACGCCUAACACAUGCAAGUCGAACGAACCCUUCGGGGUUAGUGGCGCACGGGUGCGUAACGCGUGGGAACCUACCAUCAGGUUCGGAAUAACAGUUAGAAAUGACUGCUAAUACCGGAUAAUGUCUUCGGACCAAAGAUUUAUCGCCUUUUGAUGGGCCCGCGUUGGAUUAGCUAGUUGGUAAGGUAAAAGCUUACCAAGGCGACGAUCCUUAGCUGGUCUGAGAGGAUGAUCAGCCACACUGGGACUGAGACACGGCCCAGACUCCUACGGGAGCAGCAGUAGGAAUAGUUGACAAUGGGC